CCCUUAGAUGUCCUGGGCUGCACGCGCGCUACACUGAUGUGUCCAGUAAGCACCUAACCUAUUCCGAGAGGAGCGGGUAACCUUAGCAAAGCACAUCGUGAUGGGGAUAGAUUAUUGCAAUUAUUAGUCUUGAACGAGGAAUUCCUAGUAAACACAAGUCAUCAGCUUGUGUUGAUUACGUCCCUGCCCUUUGUACACACCGCCCGUCGCUCCUACCGAUUGAAUGUUCCGGUGAGCUCUUCGGACUGCGCGGUCUGCAGUUUCUGCGUUCCGUGCGGAAAGUUGUGCAAACCUUAACAUUUAGAGGAAGGAGAAGUCGUAACA
rnacentral:rRNA from 1 species